AAACUAUUAAAAUGUACUUAUUAAAGCAAAAAGAGGGAAUUGGGAAGGGGUAUAUAUCCCCCAAAGAUAAACUUAAGAUAAUCCUUUUUACUCUAAACUUUUUAAAAUUUGGAUUCAUCAGGGCUCAGUGCUGCGGAAAGGCAUAUGUGUCCAAAAAAUGUACAUAAGCCUAAGGUACUUUGGAAAGAUAUUCUAACAGGACAAUGGAAAGGUCCUGACCCAGUGAUUGUCUGGAGUCAGGGUUCUGUUUGUGUGUUUCCACAGGGAGAACAGCAGUCGAUUUGGAUUCCAGAGAGACUAACCAAAGCGAUUUCUACAGACCAAAAAGAAGAUGAUUUGACUCAAAUCCAUAACAGCUGAUAUCCAGAGCUCCAGCUUGGCUAUUCUUACAUCUGCAACAGUGAUUAACCAGGAUGCUUUUUUCAAUAUCUAUUUUAUUAUUGCCUUUUCCCACAUUAUAAAGUUCUAUUUUAUUUUUUGAGCUCAUACAGACCUAGGUUAAUGUUUUUCUGAUCAGUUUUAUUUUUUGAUUGUGGAGUUUUUAAACAUUGCAAUGGAGAUUUCUCCUAUGUAAAGCUACAAGGCCUUUACUAUUGUCUUAUGUGUUGUAUGUUAUGUGUGCACACUUCUGUUUUGUGUUGUAUGUCUGUGUGUGCGUAUGUCCAUAUAUCAUAUAUGAGGAGCGCUCAUGAAAUAAUGGAUCCGAAUUUUUUUUUUAUUCACAUGAUUUAAAUGUUUUAAUUUAAAUUAGGUAAACAGCUGUUAAGGAUUGUUUUUAAAGGUGGUUAACAGAUCUGUUUGUUUACUUUCACCUUUCCUUUUCAUUAUAUUUAAUAAUUCUGUUCAGGAUAAUGUCAAUUGUUCAGAAAAUUGUUUUCUUAGUACCUGUUGGAAUGUUACAUAUUUUUUUUUUAGCAUCAUUGCCAGAAUUCCUAUCUUCAUCCCAGGGCCGGUGAAGACAAAGAUAAAACCAAACUACAGCUUCUUUGAUAGCUAUCACAGUAAACUGUAUAAAUUGAUGCUUCAGUGAAUAAUAACUCAACAAGUAGUGCUCAAUCAAGGAGUCGAUUUUCUUUGGGAGGAAAUGGACAUAUUGAUAGAUUCCUCCACUUUGAACUGCUUGCAGAACUUGUCUGGACUAUGUAUCACUUGUAUACAUUGUGAACUAUCGUUUGGUGCAGCGAAUUGUGGUAAUGCUGGAGUAUCUUUGCUGAUGGUGUCAUUGGUGGUACAAUUUUUCCAAAGGAGCUGUCAAUUGGCUUGCUGUCGUGGCAUUUCUGUAUCCUCCUCCCUUCUGUUAGUGAUGGUCUAAAAUUUGGGGGCCAACAGAGGUGAGGCAAAGAACCUCACCCCCCCACUGGUGCAUAGGCCUAUCCACAAGUAUGGCUGUAUGCUGGACCGGUAGUCAGUGACAGGUAUGAUCCAAUCGCAGUUGUACCAACCCAAGACAGGAGGCUGACACCUAGAGGUCAGCUCAUCCGAUGAUGGGUAAGGACCAUAUGUUGAAUUGGACAACUUAACAGGCACAGUCCCUAAGCCACAUUGCUUGUUGUUUAAUUAAUCAGAAGGGGGGACCUGGAAGAUACAAAAAUAUUUAAUAUACAAAUAAUAGCAAUAGCACCAUAGUUACUUUGAUAUUUUAUAUUAAUUCAGUUUAGGGCUUAAGAAAAUAACAUUAUAAUAUUUUUUAAAUAACAGUUGUUGUUUAACCAUAAUUGUAUAAUCCUUAAUUCCUUUAAGAUUACUUGCUCAAAAAACAAGACUUAAUGAACACAAUGUUAUGAGUAAAUCAAUGUUUUAGAAAUCUUCAUUUUUAACAUACAGAUUAAACUUUGUUUUUAUAUCAUUGGAUCUUAAGGAAAAUCUUCAAAUAGCCUGACUAAUCAUUUUACAUAUAUAUAAAACCAACUCAUAUGGAACUUUUAAUUUUUUAAAAUCUUUUAUCCUCGUGUUCACAAUAUGAAACUAUCCUUGUAAUUUUUUUUUACUUUAGACAAAUUAUUCUAUUUUAAUAAAGAAUAUUUUAUGUUG
rnacentral:lncRNA from 1 species